CCGAGAGGCGGUAACAAGAAGGUUUAACAUCAGAACCCGACUGAUUCUUGUUGCCUAAGCUCGGUUUGAGUGUGGAGGUGAUGCAGCUGAGGCACCUUUACAUGCGCGUGGCUCAGCGGGAAGGCCUCUCAGGCUCCGGCCAUUUAACCUGAAGAGAACGCUCUUAGGAGUGGAGGCAAAUGGUGUGAGGGGUGAAAUGGCUUUCUGAAGCCUAGCAAGGAUCUGAGUGGAUUUCUGUUUCUGGCUCUGAGAACUGCUGUAGAAAUCGAGAUAUUAAUGAUGAUCAAUUGAAGAUUUUCAAGUGGUUUUCAGAAGAGAACGCCAACAGUCUGAAAUGGAAUCUCAGUGUGGAGUCUCAUUUCUUGUGAAGCAGGAAUUAGAGAUGCUGGGAGGCUGUGGGACAGAACUGCCCCCAACAGUCUCAAAAGUCACUUCCAUAAAUGAG
ensembl:lncRNA